UACGGAGGGUGCAAGCGUUAUCCGGAUUUACUAGGUUUAAAGGGUGUGUAGGCGGACUUUUAAGUCCGUGGUGAAAUCUCCGGGCUCAACCCGGAAACUGCCAUGGAUACUAUGGGUCUUGAAUAUUGUUGAGGUGGGCGGAACGGGUCAUGUAGCGGUGAAAUGCAUAGAUAUGACCCGGAACACCGAUUGCGAAGGCAGCCCACUAAGCAAUGAUUGACGCUGAGGCACGAAAGCGUGGGGAUCAAACAGG
rnacentral:rRNA from 1 species